UCUCUCUUUAAAAAAGCCUUUUCCUCCCCAUUUUUUCCUUUCGUGCUUCUUUUCUAGCCUCUGCUACUUAAUCUCCUUGUAUUUUAUUCAUCACUUAAAAGCUUUCUUUUUGCUUUUUCUUCCUCUAAAAUCAACAAUCUUAUAAUCACAUAAAUAUAAUAUUAUGAUCGUUCCUUUUUUUUUUUUUCUUGUUCUGUCAUUGGAUUUUUAAAAUUUAUUUUUAAAACAUGGGCUCCAUUUCAUUUACCCAUUGAAGUGACUAGCUUCUUUCAAAAUUUGUUUUUUCAUUCUAAGAAACCCUGCAUUUGUCUUCUCGUACAAUUAUUCCCGUAAACAGUACCUUCUUUGUCUCUCUCCAAAAAGCUCUUUUUAUUGUGCUGCUGGAUUCAUCAUCGGUGACCUCCUUUUCUUUUUUUUUUUCUUUUUGCUUUUUAAUCAUAAAGGAUUUUUUUUUAUAUGUGUUUUCGUGAUUUUGGGUUGAUUUUUUUAAUCAGGAAAUAUAAAUUACACCGUGGUUGAUUUCAUGGCCAUAGAAAAAACUAGAAUAUUGUCAAAACUACAACAAGUGCGGACGAAAAAGACGAUCAUCAUAGCCAGUUUCAGAAAAACAUCAUAAAGGAAAAAAAUUUUACAUGAUUAAUAAUCAUUGGAAAGCGAAAAGUUUGUAUUGCUGGAAAACGGGUUACCAUGGCAAGUUUAAUGGCAAAGCAGGUUCCUCCUCUUCAUACUCUGCGGCAUCCAAGUCAUAAAGAUGUGUAUUAUUGUCUUAUUAAAACUAAAAACUAAAACCACGAUCAUCAAUGGAAACAUAACGUUGGUGAUAGGAACCCUAAGUAAAAUUACAAAAAGAAUACAAGCAGAUAAGUAAUCUAAAAAGUAGUGAAUAUUGCAAUAUUGUUAUUGUUUAGAUAAAAGACAAAUCAGGUUGUUGGAAAAAUGAAAAUCAGGAGAGAGGUGAAGAUGUGAAGUUAAAAACAAAAUGAAUUUUUUCAGCUUCAAUAAUUAAUUUAUGCUAUAUGAAAUUAUAAAAUGUCUGGUCUAAAAACGUAUUAUAUACGGAA
rnacentral:lncRNA from 1 species